AAACCAGCACCUCAAGUGGUCAGGAUGAUUAUUGGGCCUAAAGCAUCCGUAGCCGGCUCUGUAAGUUUUCGGUUAAAUCUGUACGCUUAACGUACAGGCUGCCGGGAAUACUGCAGAGCUAGGGAGUGGGAGAGGUAGACGGUACUCGGGAGGAAGUGGUAAAAUGCUUUGAUCUCUCGAUGACCACCUGUGGCGAAGGCGGUCUACCAGAACACGUCCGACGGUGAGGGAUGAAAGCUGGGGGAGCAAACCGGAUUAGAAACCCCGGUAGUCC
rnacentral:rRNA from 1 species